rnacentral:rRNA from 1 species
CGGGCUUAACACAUGCAAGUCGAGGGGCAGCAUGGUCUUAGCUUGCUAAGGCCGAUGGCGACCGGCGCACGGGUGAGUAACACGUAUCCAACCUGCCGUCUACUCUUGGACAGCCUUCUGAAAGGAAGAUUAAUACAAGAUGGCAUCAUGAGUCCACAUGUUCACAUGAUUAAAGGUAUUCCGGUAGACGAUGGGGAUGCGUUCCAUUAGAUAGUAGGCGGGGUAACGGCCCACCUAGUCUUCGAUGGAUAGGGGUUCUGAGAGGAAGGUCCCCCACAUUGGAACUGAGACACGGUCCAAACUCCUACGGGAGGCAGCAGUGAGGAAUAUUGGUCAAUGGGCGCAGACCUGAACCAGCCAAGUAGCGUGAAGGAUGACUGCCCUAUGGGUUGUAAACUUCUUUUAUAAAGGAAUAAAGUCGGGUAUGCAUACCCGUUUGCAUGUACUUUAUGAAUAAGGAUCGGCUAACUCCGUGCCAGCAGCCGCGGUAAUACGGAGGAUCCGAGCGUUAUCCGGAUUUAUUGGGUUUAAAGGGAGCGUAGAUGGAUGUUUAAGUCAGUUGUGAAAGUUUGCGGCUCAACCGUAAAAUUGCAGUUGAUACUGGAUAUCUUGAGUGCAGUUGAGGCAGGCGGAAUUCGUGGUGUAGCGGUGAAAUGCUUAGAUAUCACGAAGAACUCCGAUUGCGAAGGCAGCCUGCUAAGCUGCAACUGACAUUGAGGCUCGAAAGUGUGGGUAUCAAACAGGAUUAGAUACCCUGGUAGUCCACACGGUAAACGAUGAAUACUCGCUGUUUGCGAUAUACAGCAAGCGGCCAAGCGAAAGCGUUAAGUAUUCCACUUGGGGAGUACGCCGGCAACGGUGAAACUCAAAGGAAUUGACGGGGGCCCGCACAAGCGGAGGAACAUGUGGUUUAAUUCGAUGAUACGCGAGGAACCUUACCCGGGCUUAAAUUGCAGAUGAAUUACGGUGAAAGCCGUAAGCCGCAAGGCAUCUGUGAAGGUGCUGCAUGGUUGUCGUCAGCUCGUGCCGUGAGGUGUCGGCUUAAGUGCCAUAACGAGCGCAACCCUUGUUGUCAGUUACUAACAGGUUCCGCUGAGGACUCUGACAAGACUGCCAUCGUAAGAUGUGAGGAAGGUGGGGAUGACGUCAAAUCAGCACGGCCCUUACGUCCGGGGCUACACACGUGUUACAAUGGGGGGUACAGAGGGCCGCUACCACGCGAGUGGAUGCCAAUCCCAAAAACCUCUCUCAGUUCGGACUGGAGUGUGCAACCCGACUCCACGAAGCUGGAUUCGCUAGUAAUCGCGCAUCAGCCACGGCGCGGUGAAUACGUUCCCGGGCCUUGUACACACCGCCCGUCAAGCCAUGGGAGCCGGGGGGUACCUGAAGUGCGUAACCGCGAGGAGCGCCCUAGGGUAAAACUGGUGACUG